AGUGAACGCUGGCGGUAGGCCUAACACAUGCAAGUCGAACGGCAGCACAGUAAGAGCUUGCUCUUACGGGUGGCGAGUGGCGGACGGGUGAGGAAUACAUCGGAAUCUACUUUUUCGUGGGGGAUAACGUAGGGAAACUUACGCUAAUACCGCAUACGACCUACGGGUGAAAGCAGGGGAUCUUCUGACCUUGCGCGAUUGAAUGAGCCGAUGUCGGCUUAGCUAGUUGGCGGGGUAAAGGCCCACCAAGGCGACGAUCCGUAGCUGGUCUGAGAGGAUGAUCAGCCACACUGGAACUGAGACACGGUCCAGACUCCUACGGGAGGCAGCAGUGGGGAAUAUUGGACAAUGGGCGAAAGCCUGAUCCAGCCAUACCGCGUGGGUGAAGAAGGCCUUCGGGUUGUAAAGCCCUUUUGUUGGGAAAGAAAAGCAGCAGGUUAAUACCCCGCUGUUCUGACGGUACCCAAAGAAUAAGCACCGGCUAACUUCGUG
rnacentral:rRNA from 1 species